ACCGCCUGACCCUUCAGAUGACACAGCCUCCGGAUCAUGCUUGCGUAACGGCUAUAGUUAUCAUUUAUCUGCUACAUUAAUCCAACCAUUUACCUCUUUUGCACCACUCAUCCCUCUCUCUCUCUCUUCUUCCUUCGCUUAUUAACUUCAUCAACUUUUGCCGAUUUCAUAUCCGAUGGAAUCGACGGUAGAAGUCUUGGCUGCUCCGGAUCGGUUAUCAAGACGGUGGUCUCGGAGAGAAAUAGGAAGCUUGUGAACAUACUUAUGGGGUUCAUGCCGUGUACUUAGACGGCGCUUGGUAACGUGUUUUUGAUUUUGGUUUAUGGGUUUCUCAUGUUCACGGCGGUAACAUAUCUAUCUGCCGGAAGUGAGCUUCUUCUCGAGAUUGGCCCUUGAAUCGUCGGUGGUUUGUUUCUUCCCAUGGUCGGAGUACUCCCUGAUGCUAUGCUUAUUAUGGAUAGGUGAAAGUCUCUGUGGGAAUGGGUUUGCUCGCUGGCUCUACCGUUACGCUUCUUUCUAUUAUCUGGAGAACUUGCAAAGUUGUUGGCAAGUGUAACAUUCGUGAUACUAUUGCUGUAAACAACCAAGACACUAGAACCUUCCAUCUUAAAGAUUCUGGUGUUAGUGUUGAUGUUUGGACCAUGUGCUUAUUCAUCGUAGUUUUCCCUCUCACUUCAUCUACAUUUCUAAUCUGACAUAACAAGAAAGAGAAUGCAGUGGUUGAGUUUGUGUGGGUGGUGAGCGCGAAAGAAAAAUUUGUAGCAGAAACGUUGAAACAUCUGACCAUGGAGAUCAUUGGUGCUAGGAGGAAGAAACUUUAUGAAGCAACAGUGUGGGUUAAGCCAAGGAUGAACUUCAAGGAGUUAUGCCGGUGAUAAUGCCCCUGCCAUUACUCCCUCCUAACUUGGCUGCACAUAAGAUGAUCAUAAAUCUUGGAGGGAAGUUCCACGAGAUGAUUCAGUACAAUCCUUUUCUGAUCAUGCUGUCAAGAGCAUCCAACACAGAUUUAACUCAUUGUUACUUUCGUCAAGUUCCCCUUAUGCCGUUGUCUCUGGCUCUGAUGUGCUGUGUGCUUUGGUGUUGUACGGGAGUGGUGCUUUGAGAUUAAACCUAAACAACUCCACUUCUCAUGCUGUUGGUGGUGUGCAGGUCAAUAAAAAGUGUUCCAAAUGUAGGUGGCUUCUCUCCCACCAACACACUUCCACCAAAAAGUGAGAAUGCACCUAAGAAAGUACAAAUAGUUUAAUUCCAGGCAGAUGCGUUACUUGAUCACAAUUUUUGCUUCGUAAAUAAUGCUUUAUCAACCCUUUUUAAAUUAA